UAUAUGUUGAAUGAUGUGAAUACCUACAUAGAAUCCACGGCAUCCGGUUUCUCGCUCUUAGUCAAAUAAAACAAUUUUUUUUUUAAAAAAAAAAAGAAAAGAGAUCCUUUUCCCUUUCUCUUUCCCUUUGUCUCACCCUCUGCCUUCUCUCCACUUCUUCAAGUUCUGACAGACAAGAUUAAUAGCAAGAGCAAGAGAGAUCCUUUUUCUCUUUCUUCACCCCCAUCCUCGAAUUCCUCUCCAUCUCCUCUAGUUCAUGUGGGAUCGAUCUCAAGAGCAUUUGACAAAGAAAGCUCAUCAGAUUCAUCUUUCUCAUCCUCACUCUCACCUUCGGGUUCCUCUUUGCCUCUUCAAGUUUCGGCGAGAUCGAUCUUGAGAGCUUCUGAGAAAAACAACUUGUUGGAUUCCUCUUUUUCUCCUCAAGUUCUAGUAAGAUCGAUCAUGAUCUUGCAAAAAUAGAGCAAAUUCGGUCUCUUAUAACUCUUCGAUCGAUGGUUACAUUAAAAAUUGUGACUUGGAUGAGGCUUAAAAGCUAUUUUGGUCGACACCGGAUCAUGAUCACUUGGUCCUGCUUAUUCAAUGGCUUUGUACGAAAUCGGCUAUUUUGUAGAGAAUGGAGAAGAAAGACUUGAUACAUUGGAAUACUUUCAAGGAUAGGUUGAGGAGGGUGUUCGAUAUUUUGAAAUAAUGAGCUUGAGGUUUGGCAUUAAGAAAAGCUGAUCGAUAUGGAAUUAGACGAUUAUAGGAGGUAUGUGCCUCUAGCACAUUUAUAUGUUGCGGCAUCACAAUGGGACAAGCAUAGAGAUUUGAUGCAACUUAUGAAGACUCGAACCUUGGUUCAAGAUUGUUUAUUUGACUCGGUAGUUGAGACCGGGUCUAUUUUUGACGUUCAAGCAAUUUUUGGGCUCGCACGGUGUUACGUGCGUGCCUUUGUGGACUGAAGGGUAGGGUGCAUCCCCUGCCGAGCUCCUGCGAGUGUUAUGUGCCUGCGGGCAUGCCCACGUUUGCACCCAGGCGGGCACUUGCAAGCAGCAUCUGCUAGCAUAGCACCAGUGAGGUGGGUCGUGGCCCAUUCUUAAGCCUUUUUGAGUCCUUCUUUUUGGUUGUUUGCUACCCUCUUUCUUCCUUCUUCCUUCCCCUUUCUUUCUCCCUUACCUGUGGCAAGUCUUGGAGAAAUAAAGGGGCCUUGUUGAUCUUGUUCUACCAAGUUGGGAGCUCCAAAAUCCAUCCACCUUCUUCCUUGUUUUCUAGAGGCUCUAGCGGCUAGUAGCAUGGUGGCGAGAUGGAGUACUGGGUAUCCACUAGCUUCCUAUCUUUCUUAUUACUAGUAUUGUGUAUGUUUUCAUUGAUCACGAACAUGUCAUUUAAGAAUAUGGAUCCACUAAUAUGUUUGAGCUCUGUUUGUAUGAUUGUUUACUAGUUUAUUUCUUGGAACCCUUGUUGUAUUGGUAGACAGGAUAUUUCCUGAACUCUUCUAUUAGAUUAUUGUUGACGCUUUCCCUAUAUAUCAUGAAUUUGCUAUUAUUGUACUUCUUGUCUUGUAUAUUCUAUACUUGUGACUUUUGGUUCAGGAUUGUGGAAUCCUAGGUUUUCGUCAGCCUUGCGGUGACUCGAGGGUUGAGUGGUGUGGUAUCUCUCCUUGGGUUGUCGCAGCAGUUGUUGCGUCAUGGGGCCCGUGGGUCAGGACGUGACAGUGAUGACAGCUAGCCAGAAAUUGCUUGCAUUUAUGAGGUAUUAGAGGAGAUUGCAAAGCAACUGAAAUUGCAGCCUCAUGUGGAGGAUGAAAACCUUGAGUAUGUUCAUGAAUGAAUGUUCUCUCAGAAUGUUGUUUAUAUUUGCUGUUAACCAUACUAGAUAAUGAUGCGACUAAUGUUUGCAUUGCAAUUUCUUGAUUAUUUAUGCAA